UUACGUUACCAGGUAUUUAUCUUAGCCUUGUUGUCAGUUUACUGCUAGCUGCUCGUUUAUUUAACAAUGUUGUGAUAGUUCUUAGACGAAGCCGUGUACGUGGUGUAUUGCAAACUUUAACAUUAAUAGUUCUUGGUUAUAUUUAAUGAGAUUAAAUAUGUUAACACUAUGUAAUGACCCUAUGGUUACGACAGCCGUUUUUCCAAUGAAGGCUGUCUAACUUAGCUAACUUUAUGUUACCGAGUUAAUGUAGCUGUGCUACCUCGGCAUUCAGCGAUUCCGUAGCUACGUUUCUUGAACGUAUAGCUAGCCUAGUAGUAGUCAAAUGAAUGUCAUACAACGACUGACUGAAUUAAUAAAUGUGAACGGAUUAACCAGCAGCCUCGCCAGACAUCAAAGCAUGGCAUUACAGCCCCAGUCAUCAGCAGCCCGGAGGCAUUAUGAGUUAAAUGUUUUUGGCCUUUGUCAGGCAUAUGUAAUGGUUGUAAUAAAUACACUAUGCCCCUUCACAACCGCUUGACAUAUGAAUGUUUUUUUUUUUUUUUACAGUUUUCCUUUAGGUGUGCAGCAUGCAGACAGACUGAGACGAUGGCUGGUGAACAUAAGACGACAAGACUGGGAGCCCAGCAAGUCAUCUCAUCUCUGUAGUCUUCAUUUUGAAGACCAUGAAUUCACCAUUUAUACCUAUGGGAAUCGUCUGACUUGCACUGCAGUACCAACUGUGUUCUCCCUUCCUGACCACCUGGUGAAGAGACCUGCAAGUAGAAGAUUUUGUCUUCCGCCUCCCUCCUGCACCACCACCGCCAUCACCAGAGCUGAAGGUCCACGCCACCAUCGCCAGAGCUGAAGGUCUACACCACCACCAUCGCCAGAGCUGAAGGUCUACACCACCACCAUCACCAGAGCUGAAGGUCUACGCCACCAUCACCAGAGCUGAAGGUCUACACCACCACCAUCACCAGAGCUGAAGGUCUACAACGCUGCUGCCACCAGAGCUGAAAUCUCUCUAAGUUAAUGACUAACCCCCCCUCACCCCUUGGCAAACACAAUAAAACAUGGUCAUUUGUGGAUA